AUGGACAGACAGAAAGCACUUAGCAUCCGAUCCUCCAUGAUGAAUAGAGUUAACCUUUGUAGUUUGCCAAAAGUCAGUAAGUUUUUCUUUCCCAUUUGUUUCAGGAGAAUCAGGAGUACGAUUGCAGGUAGGACCAGAUACACUCACAUUGUCUUGGCCUUUUUUGCUUCACGACAGCAGUCAGAUUGCUCACAGCAGCCGACGAGCAUAAUUCCUUUACAGAAGCAUGAUUUGAGAGGGAAGGACCGGGAAUGUUCCAAGCUGUGGAUUUGCUGCACGAGGGUGGAUGUGCCUGGGAGCAGCUUGGAAAUUGACUCUUGGGGGAAUUUCAAGCCCAGCCCGGGAAGAUUUGCUAUGCAGGUGAGGGACCACACAGCGGCGGCCACCUGGAACCUCCGGGCCACCGCUCCUGCUGUCGCCUGCUCGCAGGGCCUCCCCCCGCCCGGAGGAUGCAAUCUCCCACGCCAGAGUGGAAGUCACAGCGGCUGCACAGCACCUUGGCGGACCCUCCAACAGCUGUAG
rnacentral:lncRNA from 1 species